CUGGUUGAUCCUGCCAGUAGUCAUAUGCUUGUCUCAAAGAUUAAGCCAUGCAUGUCCAAGUAUAAACCUCGUUUUUACACGGUGAAACUGCGAAUGGCUCAUUAAAUCAGUAAUAAUCUAUUUGAUCGUUUUGGUCUCUGUCACCAAGAAAUGGAUAACUGUAGUAAUUCUAGAGCUAAUACAUGCCUUUUCAAAAGGGGUCGUGGUUGGUGGAGGGGGGUUCUCCUCUCUUCACUGGUCAUGCUCCUUGCGUUCGUUCGAUUCUCAAAGAAAAACCAAUAGGGGGUUUCUGGGGAGGAAGGUACUCGUAUCCUCUUGUUCCGGAUUCCCUUUCCAUUUCCUCGGGUGAUACAGAAUGACCGUGCAGAUCGUACGGCAAUCUUGCUGACGACGGAUCAUUCGAAUUUCUGCCCCAUCAACUUUCGAUGGUAGGAUAGAGGCCUACCAUGGUUAUAACGGGUGACGGAGAAUUAGGGUUCGAUUCCGGAGAGGGUGCCUGAGAAAUGGCAACCACUCCUAAGGGAGGCAGCAGGCGCGCAAAUUGCCCAAUCCCGACACGGGGAGGCAGUGACAAGAAAUAACAAUGCAAGCCUCGAAAAGAGGUUUGCAAUUGGAAUGAGUACAAUUUAAACCCUUUAACUAGCAACAAUUGGGGGCAAGUCUGGU
rnacentral:rRNA from 1 species